UGUAAUAUUUUUGUUGUAAUCGUGGAAAAAUUCUAGAAUGCAACGGUUAUAUUAGUGACGUGGCGUAACAAACCAAUCAAAUUAAUCCUUUUAAGAAUAUAUGUUCCAUCAUGAUUGUAAAAAAGUAUUUUUAUUGUACUUUUGUUUAAAAAGAAGGAAUGUGAUUGACUUGUUAUUGAUGACGUGGUGCAAGUGUGACAGUGUAGAAUUCCUCGUAAUCAUGCGGAGUUACAUUAUUUUUUUAAGAGAGAAAGUUAAUAUAGUACUUGCGUUUUUAUUUUUUAUAAAUAAAUUUAGUUGAAAAUAUAAAGUAAUAUCAUUUUGAAUUUAAAAACUGAGAUAUCAAUAAUUAAGUCUUUUGCCACUUGCGCUUGGGACAAUCGAUCAGGAGUUGUAUUGUUAAUAAUUUUAUAUUAUCGACAGAAUUAAUUUUAUGCAGUGGUAAUAUAAAAAGAUUCAUAAAAAAUGGCAAAUAAUUAUGAUAGAGUAACGCAAAACCAAACAUGCCCUAAUUUUAGUGAAAUAGUAGUUGGGGGAUAAGCGGGGAUAACGAAAUUUAUUCCCGCUAUUCCGCCAAACGGGGUGAAAUUUGGCCGGGAUAUUUUAUCCCGGUCAAACCUUGCUAUUCCCGGUUAUUUCGGAAUAGCAAGAGAUUUGCUAUUCCACCAUUUUGGUGGAAUAACACUAUUCCAAUGCUUAAUUUCAAACUUAAUUAAAAUUAUAAAUUGAAUUAAAACUAAAUUAUAUAAAUAUAAUAUGUUAUAUAUUAUAAUACAAUAUUUUUAUU
rnacentral:lncRNA from 1 species